GCCAUUCGAAGAUGGCUACCUGCUCGGUUUUUCCAUCCGAGACCCGAAAUAAAUCCGAGGCAGCAUGCUACCGUCGCCAUGUUGUCCGAGAGAAGGAGAAGGAGAAGAAGAAGAAGGGUUAGCCUCUUUUAUAUGUAAUCCUUCAAACCCAAUCGACCAUGUUGUAGGAUGUGCUCUUGAAAUUUCAGGAGGGAUUUCGUUGUGUCUUCUCGCUAGCGCGAGCAAGAAACAGGAGCAAGAGGUUUCUGUUCUAAGACCUGGAAAUCAGUGGCGGUUGCACGUAAAUCGGCGCCGGCAGAGUACAGACUGUGCACUCCGGUCUCUAGUUCGGCACUUCGCCCACAGGCAGAGUACAGACUACUAUUCGUCUUCCGCAGUCGUCGCUACGGCGCUCCCAGAAACCAGAAUCCAGACUCAUCACCUCCAUCGGAAAUAGAAAGAAGAAGAAGACUCUUCGUCGUCCUCAAUCCCUCACUGCGAAUUCAACUUCGGAAUUUCAACCACAGUUCCGCUGUUCGUCUGUUCUAGACCCAGAGAAACAGAGACAGAGAUCGAAGGCUGCGACCGGCGGAUUCGAGUUCCCAACUGAGACGUUCGCGGAUCAGACAAGAACUCUGCACUCAAGCAGAGCUCUUCGGUUUUUAUUCUUCUUCAGCCUUCUCCGAUCUUUCUUCAACAAACGGCUCCGCCUUCACCUCUUCAGUUUCAGCUACAGAGGCGAAGACUGGACUCUUUCCCGUCUGAACCAGAGCAGCGGCGAAGCUACUGUUCGAACGGAACCAGCGGCGGUUUCCGUCUGAACCAGAGCAGCGGCAGACAAGACACCAUUGAAGGGUACCUGCUGUUGACUCAGAGAUAGAGCCAUGACUCUACGAGAGAAAAAGGAAGAUCUAACGCUCUCUCCGGUAUGGUUACAGUAGCAGCGCAGUUUUUUCUAUCGGGAGACACCUGAAACAGAACCGGCAUUGCGACGGAAACAAUCAUGUUCACCGAAUUGGCAAUCUUCGUCGGCCAUUGUAGUUUGGGCCAAUUAGUUGUCUCCGUCUGAACCAGAGCAGCGGCAACUAAACUUCUGAGCGGGAAAGAGCGGCCGCAAAGCUACUGAUUCAUCGUUCCCAUUUCUGAGACAGUGACCGGAGUUUGGGUUCGCAUUCUACGACGAAAUCCAGAGAGAGUUUCGUCAUCUUCGACACGGACUGUUCUCUCUCCUCUGUUUUCGGGAGGACUUCUUCGACCCUGCCUUCCAGACCGUUGGUUUCCACUGUGCGACGGAGUAUGAUCGAGAUUGACAGAUCCUAUGCCGAACCAUGAAGCGGAGUGUUUGAUUUGGUUUUCUUGAACUGAAAACUACUUCGGGCCGGUUGAUGGUUUCUGUUGUAUUCUAUGGUCCAUCGAUAUAUCCUCCAGAAUCUAAUUCUGCUGCGUAGGCCCUUGGGUUUCUUGGAUUCUUUUGCAAAGUACCGUGGCCGCACUUCUAUCGCAAACUUCAUUCGGAGUUCGACGAACCCCAGAAAUUGGGAGGAUUUGCGCGACUGUUGUAAUCUUUGAUUACCGCUUGUAGAGCACACCAAACACACUACUUGAAGGUGACUGUUGCUCGUCGACCAGUGAACCAGAAGGCGUAUUGACAGACUCUUCAUCAUGAUCGGCAGACGAGGACGAGGAAACAAGGCAAGAGCAAAUGCUGCCCAAGCAGCGGGAAGUGAGACUGGAGGACGGAAGGUUGGAAUCACAAAUGAUCAUGACCGUAGCGGGUUUCCGGGGCUAAGUGGAGACCAAUGGACAUACUUCUCAAUAUUCUGAAUUCACAUAAAUCUAAAAGACUUUCCGGGGCGUCGCACCAUAUGACUGGAGAAAUUGAUUUAUUGAUUGAUGUUCGGAAUAUUACACCGUGUCCGGUGGAACUUCCCAAUGGGAAGCAAACUACUAUAGUAAAGGAAGGGACUGUGCAUUUGGGUGGAAAUAUUUAUUUACAUCAUGUGCUCUUUGUACCAAGAAUGAACUGCACCUUUAUUUCUGUAGCUAAAUUAUUGCAAGAGAUAAAUUGUACUGUCACUUUUACUGACAAGCUGUGCGUGAUACAGGACCAAACCUCGAGGACUCUGAUUGGAGCGGGUGAGCAGUGUGAUGGGGUCUAUCAUUUUAGAGGAGCAGCACCGGUUCGGGCAAAUAGAACAAGUAGAAUGAGUGAAUGGGAGUUGUGGCAUCGUAGAUUGGGACAUCCGUCUGAAUAGAUAUUAUCUUCACUUCCUAAAGUAGGUAAAUUCAACAGUAGACCUGAAAGAGAUAAGCUAUGUGAUGUUUGUUACAGAGCAAAACAAAUUAGGGAAGUUUUUUCUGAAAGUAAACAUAAAGUCGAUGAUUGUUUCUCUCUAAUUCAUUGUGAUACAUGGGGUGCUUAUAAAGUAUCGGCCUCUUGUGGUGCCGUUUACUUUUUAACCAUUGUUGAUGAUUAUUCUCGUGCUAUGUGGGUUUACCUGUUGCUUGAAAAAAGUGAAGUAGCACAUGUUGUUAAAAAUUUUUAUGCCAUGGCAGAACGCCAAUUUGGCAAGCAAGUUAGAGUUGUUCGAAGUGAUAAUGGAACAUAGUUUAAAGGCCUGAAGUCAUACUUUGAGACUCAUGGCAUUCUGCAUCAGACCUCCUGUGUUGGAACACCCCAACAGAAUGGUCGAGUGGAAAGAAAACAUAGGCAUAUUUUGAAUGUUGCCAGAGCAUUGAGGUUUCAAGCAGGUUUACCUAUUCGGUUUUGGGGGGAGUGUGCCUUAACUGUCGAAUACUUGAUAAACAGGGCACCUUCUUCUGUACUUGGCGGGAAGACUCCGUAUGAGGUACUGUUCGGGACGCUACCUCAAUACGAGCACAUGAGAGUAUUUGGCUGUCUCUGCUAUGCUCAUUGGAGUCCUCGAGACAAGGAUAAGUUUGGAGAAAGGAGUAGGAAGUGUUUUUGUGGGUUAUCCCUACGGAAAGAAAGGUUGGCGCGUAUAUGAUGUUGAAAGAGGUGAAUAUUUUGUCUCCAGUGAUGUAGUCUUUCAUGAAAAUAUAUUUCCAUAUGUCACUGGUUCAGAAGCCAAUCUGGGAAACAAACCUGGCCCAGCCAUUGCACAAGUUGAUGAUGAUGUUGUACACAACCACAGAGGGAAUAAAGACGGGGAGUGAUGCAGCCAACAUCUGUGAUAGGGGGAGCCUUGAGAAUAAUGGUGAUGGAAGAGAGGAGGAGCACGGAGAAGAAGAGAGUGAGCAGGAAGUGGGAAUUAAUGGCAGUGAGGACAGAAUUAAUGUGGAUCCAACACCACAAACGGCACUAGAAGAGCAACUUGGUAGGGGACAUCGACAUCGCACACUGUCUGUUUUGUUGAAACCCUACGUGACCUACACUGCUCGAUGUUUGAAAGACCCUAUUCACACUCAAGCCAACUCUAAAUCAGAGUCCUCAGUCACUGCAGGAGCCGAGCCCACCAGCUUUUCUGAGGCAAUGAAAAGUGAGUAAUGGAGGGAAGCUAUGAGGAAGGAAAUCCAGGCUCUCGAGGAUAAUGGUACUUGGACAUUGGAAACUCUACCUCCCGGGAAAAAGGCAAUAGGGAGUAAAUGGGUUUAUAAGAUCAAAUAUAAUUCAGAUGGGACGAUUGACGACAUAAGGCUCGGCUAGUUAUUCUCGGGAAUAGACAGGUUGAGGGGUUAGAUUAUAAUGAGACUUUUGCUCCUGUGGCCAAAAUGACGACAGUUCGCACUUUCUUAGCCUUCUUACAUGGGGAUUUGAAUGAGGAAGUAUACAUGCAGUUGCCGCCAGGAUUUGCAUCUAAGGAUCGAACAAAGGUGUGUAAACUGAAGAAAUCUCUCUAUGGACUACGUCAAGCUCCCAGAUGUUGGUUCUCAAAGUUAACAACGGCCUUGAUACAGUUCGGGUUUGUCCAGUUGUAUCCUGACUACUCUCUGUUCACCUAUUGCAAACACAAUAUUCGUUUGCACGUGCUGAUAUAUGUUGAUGACCUGAUUGUUGGGGGAAAUGAUACUGCUGCCAUUUUAAAAUUCAAAAAGUAUCUCGAUCGAUGCUUCCAUAUGAAAGAUCUGGGUCCACUCAAAUAUUUCCUAGGGAUUGAAGUAGCUCGUGGCCCUGAGGGAAUCUUUUUGUCUCAACGGAAGUAUG